rnacentral:rRNA from 1 species
CGAAGUCUGGUGCCAGCAGCCGCGGUAAUUCCAGCUCCAAUAGCGUAUAUUAAAGUUGCUGCAGUUAAAAGCUCGUAGUUGAAUUUCGGGACCGAUAUAUCGGUCGUGCCUCGGUACGUACUGGUAUUUUCGGUUUCUACCUUCUGACGAACCUUGAUGUCAUUAAUUUGGUGUCUUGGGGAAUCAGGACUGUUACUUUGAAAAAAUUAGAGUGUUUAAAGCAGGCUCACGCUUGAAUACAUUAGCAUGGAAUAAUGAAAUAGGACGUUUGAUUCUAUUUUGUUGGUUUCUAGGAUCGACGUAAUGAUUAAUAGGGAUAGUUGGGGGCAUUAGUAUUCAAUUGUCAGAGGUGAAAUUCUUGGAUUUAUUGAAGACUAACUACUGCGAAAGCAUUUGCCAAGGAUGUUUUCAUUAAUCAAGAACGAAAGUUAGGGGAUCGAAGACGAUCAGAUACCGUCGUAGUCUUAACCAUAAACUAUGCCGACUAGGGAUCGGAUGAUGUUAAUUUUUUAAUGACUCAUUCGGCGCCUUACG